ACGGGUCAGGGCUGGCCCAGGCGUCACGCUCCACUUCAGCCACAAGGUGCAGGGGCGUGUGGGCGGGAGGGUCGCGUUAUUGGUGGAAGAAUGAAAAUGGGGAGGACCGGAAGCUAGCCGCCAGUAGUAGGACGGUUGUGCCUCUGUCAAGAAUGGGUCACACCUGAGACAGACUCACGGACACAGAACAGGCUUGUGGUCGCCAAGGGGAAGGGGAGGGCACGAGGGAAGGAUCAGGAGUUUGGGAUGAGCAGAUGCAAACUAUUAUAUAUGGGCUGGACAGACAGCAAGGUCCCACUGUAGAGCACUAUACACUAUAGGUGGUAUCUUGGGGUAAGCUAUAACGGUAAAGAACAUAACAAAGAAUGUAUGUGUAUGUAAGAGGGAGUCGCUGUGCCGUAGAGCAAAAAUUAGCACAACAUUGUGAAUCAACCUUACUUCAAUAAAACUACAGAAGAGCUCACUUCUCAUACGCCUGGACGCACCCUGACCCUCUCUGCUUUCCCUCUGGACUGAGAGCUCAGUGAGGGAAGACACUUGGGCUUUCUGAUCCUCCUGGUCCCGAGAGCAGCCACAGGGCCACUCCUGACACCCAGGGGCCCUGACAAGGCUUGCAGAAUUGAAUAGUCAUUACUAACUUUAUUUUGCAGGGAUGGACUUAAUGUAACAGGAUUCAUGAAGUUUACAAGACUUGGGAUCUUUGCAUGUUUUCACUGAACCAUGCAGUGAAGGAGGAGGCUGAGUGAACACUUCCUCAAGAACAGCAAUGGAUUGCACCCACACAUCCUCGUUUCUUCUUGCGAUCACCCUGCAGUGCUGGCCGUGACCUUUGCCAUUCAGCAACUCCUGGAAGGGCACUUUGGAGAAUAUUUGUCAACCAUGUAUUUCAAAAUGGGACCCUACAAAGUCCUACUUAAACAAGUUUAAAUUAAACAGAACUAAAAUUAAAGAGAUUUAGUUAAUACUUUUUUUCUUUGGGGGUCUUUAAUCUGCCUGCACAUGUC
rnacentral:lncRNA from 1 species